CUAUGACACAUUUUCCUUGUGCUUACAUGCUUCUGGUGUGAAGCAUGGCAACUGCUUUGCACUGCACAGGAGGACUCUGCCAAGGAAGACUAACGUCUGCAUUUGAUUGAACCUGCAGAGGGAAUUAAGGUAAAAGGAAUGUAAAUAUUAGAGUCUAGACAAGAUGCUGGCAGAAAACAUUUGUACUCUUGUGGCAUGUGCCAUGAAACAAUCAUUUGCAGCAAAGGAAAGGCUACACAGAAAAGCAGCGAAGGUAAGGUGUUUGCUAGGAGGACACAGGGAAUACAGAGGGAUCCAAAUGCUCAUGCAUGUUGACCACACACUUCUGCAUUGCUUGAAUACCCACACCAAUGUGCAUAUUGAUGUGGUCUGUUGCUAUCUGUCCUUGAAGAAGCAAAUUACCAUGUCAGACCAGGACUACCCGGGGAGACCUCUCUUGUGCAAGGACGUUUCUUUCUUCACCCUCCUCCAGAUCCUGCUCAGAUCCUCCCUGUAAUCUUGCCAUCUCUAUUUGCGACAUCUCUGCUCAGCCUCACCCUGAAUGACGCACUGCCAUUUCUUAGCUCAUUACAUUGUGUGGCUACAAGUUCUGCUGCAAAACUAGCAUGGAAAGAAACAACACAGAAGAAUAACAAGGCUGGUCCAGCCACAAAGGUGGAUAUACAGCUACUAUGAGUCAUGCUUUAAUUUCACAAUAAAGCAACCUUAGAACUUUAUGCUCUAAGAUGCUGAUUAAUUUAAUUUUUAAAUUUCUAAACAAUGCAGGAUGGAGAGAAACAACAAAAAAGAAAACGUGAUCCUCAGUCAUGUUUGUCAAUGGUGUCAAAGGAGCACUGAGAAAGAAGUGACCUUAACUUUUCACUAGAUGACUGUGAUAAACUUAGCAUUUUGCGUGGGUGUGAUGAACUUGGUAUUUAUGCCUCACCUAAACCUUUGAAGAAGUGGUACCAAGCCAUCUACACUCUGUUUGUUUUGCCUUUGCUUUUGCUUUUUUUAAGCUGUAUUAAAUUACCUCCAU
rnacentral:lncRNA from 1 species